rnacentral:lncRNA from 1 species
CGAGAAUCUUUAAGUAAACGUGAUCCUCCAAACAUCUGAUGGCAGUGUCGGGGUUACUCCUGGCCAGUGCGCCUUUCCAACUCGCGGAGCAGGAGAAUUUGAUGAUUUUGAAAGGAUUAAACAUUUGACAAGUGCUAACGUGGUAUUUUUAAAUUUAUAAUUGACAUAUGUUUUGAAAUGGUAUUGUUCUAAUAUUGCGCCAGCCCUGCUUUGAGCAUUUGUUUUGGGAGAACCUAAGAAUUCCAAAAUGAAAAGUGUCAUUUAUAUUUUGGCAGAAAUUUGGUAUUAUUAUUGACAAACGUUAGUUUAUACGUCUUCCCCUCUAUACUCUAAGUCUCCUUAAAAGCACAUUGUGUCCUGUUCUUUUCUGUACCUCAAACAUUUAGCAGUGUCAGUUUCAAUUUAAGUCUUCAGUAAACGUUAAAUAAAUAGCAAUAACUAGAAACACUUCAUCUCACUAAAAAACUUCAAACUACUACUGGGGCCAGCGGAGAGCAUGGCACAGGCGGGUACUAGUAAUUUUAUUUCCUUUUCCUAACGCUUUUGCAGUAUAUGUUUACUUGGUCUUCCAAUUUAAAGUUAUUUUAAAAACAAGUUUAACAGCCAUCUCCCCCCCUCCUUUUUUUUUUUUUUACACUUGAAAGAUGAAAGUGAUUCCCUUAUUUCGGUGUAUUCGUAAAGAUGAAGGCCAAAACAAUUUGUUCUAUGUGUGCGUGGGGGGGGGGGGGUCCUUGGGAUUGAAUCCAUGGACUUGUGCAUGCAAGGCAAGCACUCUACCAGCUGAACUGUAUCCUCUGUCCUGUCUUUUUAAAAAUAUAUUUUUUUUGUUAUGGUCUAGCAUACCUAUAGAUGAUUUUUUUUUUCAGACAAGAUCUUCCUAAAUUGUCCAAUAUGGCUUUGAAUUUAGAUCCUCCUGCCUCAGCCCCCCAAUGGCCAGGAUUACUGGUGUGCACCACCAUUCCAGCCCUGAACUUGUUUUAUAAUUAUAAUUUCAAGUUUACUUAAAGUGGCUUUAAGUUAACUUUGAAUUUAUUUUAUUUUUCUUUCUUUAAAAAAAAAAACAAACAGGGAGAGAGAGAGAGAGAGUUUUAAUAUUUAUUUAUUUAGUUAGUUUUCAGUGGACACAACAUCUUUGUAUGUGGUGCUGAGGAUCGAACCCAGGCCGCACGCAUGCCUGGCGAGCACGCUACCACUUGAGCCACAUCCCCAGCCCUUAUUUUGUUUUUCAUGCUAGAAAUUGAACCCAAGGCCUUGUACAUACUAAGCAUACAGUCUACCAUCAAGCUACACCUCCUAUAUUUUAGACCCUAAAUCAGGAUUGAUUUAUAUACUUGGGAUAGACUACCUGAUUUGAAUGUUAUACUUACCACUUACUUUGAAAGGUAACUUAAUCUCUUUUUACUUUACUUUUCUAUAAUAUGGAGAUAAUAGUAAACUUUCCUCCUAUUAUUAUCAUAAUAAUUAAAUAAGAAUAAUGUUAUGAGCAUAGGAAGCAUUUGAUAAAUGUUUCCACUUGUUGUGAUUAUUCCUAAAUAAAUCUAAUCUUUUGACAUAAUCUUUCUAAGGCUUUCCAGUGUCAAGUCUCAGUCCAAAUCAAAUUUCCCAAUGAUGUUUGAGGCUGCACAAAAGUUCUGAGACUAUCCAAAUCUGAAUCCAAAAACUAUAGAACUAAGCUAAUAAAAAGCAAAGGCAUGGGCUAGGGUUGUGGCUCUGUGGAAGAGCUCUUACCUAGGAUGUGUGAGGCACUGGGUUCAAUUCUCAGCACUGCAUAUAAAUAAACGAAUAAAAUAAAGGUUCACCACAUCUAAAAAAAUAUUUUAAAAAGGAAAGGCAUUCUUUUGAUUAUUAUUCAUCUGAAAUACUCACACUACCUUAUGUUAAACUAAAUUUGGUCUGAGGAUGCUCUAUUCCUUGAUUCCAUACAUAAGGACCGGUAAUCUAACUUAGCAUUUAGACAAACUGGAAGUCUAAUUAAAAAGCAUAUUAUUAUUAUUAUUAUUAUUAUUCCUCCUUCUCUUCUUCCUCCUUCUUUUUUUUUUGUACCAGAGAUUGAAUCCAGUGGCACUUUACCACUGAGCCACAUCCCUAGCCCAUUUUUUUUUUUUUUUAGUUAUAGUUGGACACAAUACCUUUAUUUCACUUAUUUAUUUUUAUGUGGUGCUGAGGAUCGAACCCAAGUCUCGCACAUGCAAGGCAAUCACUCUACCGUUGAGCCACAAUCCCAGCCCCCUAGCCCAUUUUUUUUAUUCUAAUUUGUUAUAUAUGACAUCAGAAUGCAUUAUAAUUCAUAUUACAUAUAUAGAGCAUAAUGUCUCAUAUCGCCAGUUGUAUACAAAGAAUAUUCACACAAUUCAUGUCUUCAAACAUGUAUUUAGGGUAAUAAUGUCCAUAUCAUUCUACCAUCUUUCCUACCCCCAUAACUCCUCUAUUCCCCUCCCACCCCUUUGCCCUAUCUAGAGUUCUAAUUCUCCCUUGCUCCCCCUCUUAACCCCAAUAUGUACCAGCCUCCUUAUAUCAGAAAACAUUCAGCAUUUGUUUUUGGGGGGAUUGACUAACUUCAUUUAGCAUUAUAUUCUCCAACUUCAUCCAUUCACCUGCAAAGGCCAUGAUUUUAUUCUCUUUUAUUGCUGAGUAAUAUUCCAUUAUGUAUAUAUACCACAUUUUCAUUAUCCAUUCAUCUACUGAAGAGCAUCUGUGCUGGUUCCAUAGUUUAGUUAUUGUGUGCAAUAAACAUUGAUUUGGCUGUGUCCCUGUAGUAUGCUGUUUUUAAGUCCUUUGGAUAUAGACCAAGGAAAGGGAUAGCUAGAUCAAAUGGUGGUUCCAUUCCCAGUUAUCCAAGGAAUCUCCAAACUUCUUUCCAUAUUGGCUGUACCAUUUUGCAGUCCUACCAGCAAUGUAUGAGUGUGCUUUUUUCCCCACAUCCUUGUCAACACUUACUGUUAUUUGUAUUCUUAAUAACCACCAUUCUGACUGAAGUGAGAUGAAAACUUAGUUUUGAUUGUAUUUCUCUAAUUACUAGAGAUAUUGAACAUUUUUUCAUAUAUUUGUUGAUUGAUUGUAUAUCACCUUCUGAGAAGUGUCUGUUCAGUUCCUUGGACCAUUUAUUGAUUGAGUUAUUUGGUUUUUUUUUUUUUUUGGUGUUAGCCUUUUGAGUACUUUAUAUACCCUAGAGAUAAGAGCUCUAUCUGAUGUUCAAGUGGUAAAAAUUUGCUUCCAAGCUGUAUGUUCUCUAUUCACCUCACUGAACAUUUCUUUUGCUGAGAAGAAGCUAUUGAGUUUGAAUUUGUCCCACUUAUUAAUUCUUGAUUUUAAUUCUUACACUAUAGGAGUAUUAUUAAGGAAGUAAGGGCCUACUCGACUAUGAUGGAAGUUGGGCCUACUUUUUUUUUUCUAUGAGAUGCAGGGUCUCUGGUUUAAUUCCUAUGUCCUUGAUCCACUUUGAGUUGAGUUUUGUGCCUGGUGAGAAAUAGAGGUUUCAUUUCAUUUUGUUGCAUAUGGAUUUCCAGUUUCCCCAGAACCUUUUGUUGAAGAGGCUAUCUUUUCUCCAAUAUAGCCUCUAAAAUAAGAGCAUUUGUCUAAAAUAAGAUAACUUUAAUUUUAUGAGUUAGUCUCUGUGUCCUCUAUUCUGUUCCAUUGGUCUACAAGUCUAUUUUGGUGCCAAUACAAUGCUGUUUUGUUACUAUUACUCUGUAGUAUAAUUUAAGGUCUGGUAUCAUGAUGCCACCUACUUCACUCUUCUUGCUAAGGAUUGCUUUAGCUAUUCUGGGUCUUCUAUUUUUCCAGAUGAAUUUAAUGACUGCUUUUUCUAUUUCUAUGAGGAAAGUCAUUGGAAUUUUGAUUGGAAUUGUAUUAAAUCUGCAUAAUGCCUUUGGUAGUAUGGUCAUUUUGACAAUAUUAAUUCUGCUUAUCCAAGAAAGGAGAUCUUUCCAGCUGCUGAGGUCUUCUUUAAUUUCUUUCUUUAGCAUUCUGUAGUUUUCAGUGUAGAGGUCUUUUACCUUUUUUGUUAGGUUUAUUCCCAAAUAUUUUCUCUUUUUUUGAGGCUAUUGUAAAUGGGGUAGUUUUCCUUGUUUCCCUUUCAGAAGAUGUGUCACUGAUGUACAGAAAUGCCUUUUAUUUAUGGGUGUUGAUUUUUAUAUUCUGCUACUUUCAUGAAUUCGUUUACUAGUACUAGAAGUUUUCUGGUAGAAUUUUUGGGGUCUUCUAGAUAUAGAAUCAUGUCAUAGGCAAAUAGUGCUAAUUUGAGUUCUUGUUUUUCUAUCUGUAUCCCUAUAAUUUCUUUUGGGGUCUGUCUAAUUGCUCUGGCAAGUGUUUCAAGAACUAUGUUAAAUAGAAAUGAUGAAAUGGGCAUCCCUGUCUUGUUCCAGUUUUUAGUGGGAAUGCUUUCAAUUUGUCUCCAUUUAGAAUGAUGUUCACCUGGGGUUUUGCAUAGAUAGCUUUUACAAUGUUGAGAUAUGUUCCUGUUAUCCCUAGCUUUCUAGCAUUUUGAACAUGAAGCAUUGCUGUAUUUUGUCAAAUGCCCUUUCUGAAUCUAUUGAGAUGAUCAUAUGGUUCUUAUCUUUAAGUCUAUUGAUGCAAUGAAUUACAUUUAUUGAUUUUUGUAUGUUGAACCAACUUUGCAUCUCUGGGAUGAACCCCACUUGAUCGUGGUGAACUAUCUUUUUUAUAUGUUUUAUAUUCAAUAUGCCAGAAUUUUAUUGAGAAUUUUUUCAUCUAUGUUCAUUAGAGAUAUUGGUCUGAAGUUGUCUUUCUUUAAUGUGUCAUUGCCUGGUUUUGGAAUCAGGGUGAUACUGGCCUCAUAGAAUGAGUUUGGAAGUGCUGCCUCUUUUUCUAUUUCCUGAAAUAAAUUGAAGAGUAUUAGUAUUAGUUCUCUUUAAAGGUCUUGUGGAACUCAACUGUGUAUCCAUCCAAUUCUAGGCUUUACUUAAUUGGUAGGAUUCUGAUGGGGUCUUCUAUUUCACUGCUUGAUAUGGAUCUGUUUAAAUUGUGUAUAACAUCCUGAUUUAAUUUGGGCAAAUAAUAUGACUCUAGAAAUUUGUUGAUACCUUUGGUAUUUUCUAUUUUAUUGGAGUACAAGUUUUCAAAAUAAUAUAAUUCUCUCCUGUAUUUCUGUAGUAUCUAUUGUGAUAUUUUCUUUAUCAUCACGUACGUUAGUAAUUUGAGUUUUCUCUCUCCUUCUCUUUGUUAGCAUAGGUGACGGUUUGUCAAUUUUAUUUAUUUUUUCAAAGAAUAAACUUUCUGUUUUGUCAAUUUUUUUCAAUUGUUUCAAAUUCAUUAAUUUGAACUAUGCUCUUAAUUAUUUCCUGUCUUCUGCUUUUGGUGUUGAUUUGUUCUUCUUUUUCUAGGGCUUUGAGAUGUAAUGUUAAUCAUUUAUUUGUUCACUUUUUUUUCUUUUAUGGAAUGAACUCCAUACAAUAUACUUUCCUAUUAGAAUUGCUUUCAUAAUGUACCAGAGAUUCCAAUAUGUUGUAUCUCUGUUCUCAUUCACCUCUAAAAAACUUUUAAACUCCUCCUUGAUGUCUACUGUAACACAUUGUUCAUUCAGUAGCAUAUUAUUUAGUCUCCAAGUGUUGGAGUGGAUUUUGUUUCUUAUUUUAUCAUUGAUUUCUAAUUUCAUUCCAUUAUGAUAUGAUAGAAUGCAGGGUAGUAUCUCUACUUUUUUAUAUUGCUAAAAGUUGCUUUGUGGCAUAGUAUAUGGUCUAUUUUAGAGAAGGAUCCAUAUGCUACUGAGAAGAAAGUAUAUUCUCUCAUUGAAGGAUGGAAUAUUCUGUAUAUGUCAGUUGUCUAAGUUAUUGAUUAUAUUAUUGAGUUCUAUAGUUUGUUCAGCUUUUGUUAGGAAGAUCUAUCUAGUGAUGAAAGAAGCGUGUUUAAGUCACCCACAAUUAUUUUGUUGUAGUCUAUUUGACUCUUGAACGUCAGAAAAGUUUGUUUGAUCAACGUAGAUGCUCCAUUGUUUCGGGCAUAUAUAUUUAUAAUUGUUAAGUUUUGUUGGUGUAUGGUUCCCUUGAGCGGUAUGUAGUGUUCUUCUUUAUCCUUUUUGACUGACUUUAGUUUGAAGUCUGCUUUACUUGAUAUGAGGAUAGAAACCCCUGCUUGCUUCCGCAGUCCAUAUGAGUGGUAUGAUUUUUCCCAACCCUUCACCUUCAUUCUGUGGAUGUCUUUUUCUAUGAGGUGAGUCUCUUGGAGGCAGCAUAUUGUUGGACCUUUUUUUUUUUUUAUCCAAUCUGCUAGUCUAUGUCUUUUGAUUGGUGAGUUUAGGGCAUUAACAUUCAGGGUUAUUAUUGAAACAUGAUUUGUAUUCCCAGCCAUUUUUAUUUUUGGUAUUUAACAUGACUUGGUUUCUCCUCUGAUUAGAUUUUCCUUUAGUGUAAUCCCUCCCUCUACUGAUUUUCAUCAUUGUUUUUCAUUUUCUCUUCAUGAAGUAUUUUGCUGAGGAUGUUCUGUAGUGCAGGCUUUCUAGUUGUGAAUUCUUGUAACUUUGGUUUAUCAUGGAAGGUUUUCGUUUCCUCAUCAAAUCUAAAGCUUAGUUUUGCUGGAUAUAAGAUUCUUGGCUGGCAUCCAUUUUCUUUUAGAGCUUGGUAUAUGUUUUUCCACGAUCUCAUGGCUUUGAGAGACUAGGUUGAAAAAUCUGCUGAGAUACGAAUUGGUCUCCCCCUAUAUAUGAUCUGAUUCCUCUCUCUUGCAACUUUUAAUAUUCUAUCAAUAUUCUGUAUGCUAGACAUUUUCAUUAUAAUGUGCUUUGGUGUAGAUCUGUUGUAAUUUUGUACAUUUGGUGUCCUGUAAGCCUCUUGUAUUUGGUUUUCCAAUUCGUUCUUCAUGCCUGGGAAAUUUUCUGAUAUUAUCUCAUUGAAAAGAUUGUGCAUUCUUUUGGUUUGAAACUCUGUGCCUUCCUCUAUCCCAAUAACUCUUAUAUUUGGUCUUUUGAUACUGUCCCAUAUUCUUGGAUGUUCUGUUCAUGUUUUCUAAGUAUCUUCACUGUGUGAUCAACUUUAUUUUCCAGACUGUAUACUUUGUCUUCAUUAUCUGACUUUUUUUCUUCCAAGUGAUCUAGUCUGUUGCUUAUGCUUUCUAUUGAGUUUUUUAUUUGAUAAAUUGUAUCCUUCAUUUCAAGGAUUUCUGACUGUUUUUAUUUUUCAGGGUCUCUAUCUCUCUCUAAGUAAUCUUUCUCUACCUGUGUUUGCCCUCUUAUCUGAUUAAUUUUUGCUUGUAUUUGCUCAUUUAGGUCAUUCUUUAAUUCACAGAUCAUUUUAAUUAUGAACCUUCUUAACUCCUUCUCUGACAUUUCAUCAACUUUGCUGUCGGUGGGUUCUGUUAUUACAGUGUCCUGGAUUGUUUGGGGCAGUUUCCUCCCUUGUUUUUUCAUGUUGUCUAUGUGUCUUCCUUUCUUACAGUAUGGAUCUGAGAUAUUACAGUUUCUUCCCUAUAUUUUUGUAACCUGUGCAGAUUGUCUGUACCUCACUUUGAUAUUGGGCUUCCGGACCCUGCUGGUGUCCCUUAAUGAAUGCUACUUCAUCCUGGAUCUGGGUCCUGCAUAAGUUGGAGUGGGUGGAUCUGGGCCGCUGGGCUUGACCUCAAGUAGUAGUCUGUUGGUCAGAAGGGGCAGUCCUGUGCCAGAGGUUAAGCUCUGGCGGGUGUCUGCCUUGCAGGUGGAGGGGUAAACUGGGCCUACUGAGAGCCUGUGUCCUGUGCGGGGCUGGUGUGGGUGGAUCUGGGCCACCGGGCUUGACCAUCCAUGGUACUCUCCAGGUUGGAAGGGCUAAAUUUUUUCUUUUAACAUAUUAAAUUGCCCAUUAAAUAACCUUGGAUUAACAAUGAAAUAUUUCAAUGAAACAGCUAAAUAAGUAUAAUUUAUUUGUUUCUUCCACAGCAAUGAAAAACCCUUCAACUAUGAUCCUUGAAGUCUAUUGGAGAGAGAUACAAACAAAAAAUCUUGAAAUAGCCAGACAGAGUGGCUCAGGCCAGCAGCUUGGGAGGCUGAGGUAGGAGGAUCAAAAGUUCAAGAUCAGCCUCAGCAAUUCAGCAAGUCCAGACGCAAUUUAAUCAGAUGCUGUCUCAAAAUAUAUGCCUGGCUCAGGACCACCCCACGGAUCCGCAUGGGACCCCAGGUCCAGGCUCUGGCCUAGGACCACACUGAGGACAUGCAGACCCCCACUGGACCAUAGCCCUGGCCUAAGACCAUCUCAAUGGCCUGGGUGAGAGCCAAGGAUAAGUUCUAGUGAAAAGCCAGCAUCUACCUCAGAGCAAAGCCUGUCCAAGGAAGGGGACGUGACCCUUGUCCUUGGAAAGACCCACAGAGCACUCCUAGGCACAUACCCACCCUGCUGAGUUUAUCUAAAAAUAACCAGAGAGAUCUGUGAGCCAGGUGUCCCUGACUCAGUCAGGCUAGGUGGAGACCCAUAGCAACCCCCUAGCAGCCACCAAUCAGCAUAAGACAGGGAAAUACCUGGGAUGCCAGAUGACCUUCCCAGUAGUUUAUGGUGGUUGAUAACGUGUUGGGAAACCAUGUAGUUCAGCAGUACUCCCCCUCAUGGCUUAAACCAAUCAGUUCAAAUGAAUCCCCCUCUUGUAGUAACCAAUCACCCUUACUCAACUUGUUCCCACCAGUGGAUGUGCUAAUCAUGUUUUAGAGUUGUUUUAUGAUUUUCCAGCGGUGUGUGAUGAUUUGCUAAGAGAGGCUAUGAUGUAUGUGAAGUCCCUGCCUUCCCCAAAGAGUGUAUAAAACUGCUGCAAAACUUGGGCUCAGGGCCUCUCAGCGUCACCAGUUGCUGUGUGCGCACAGAGGACCG